rnacentral:rRNA from 1 species
UACGUAGGGAGCAAGCGUUGUCCGGAAUCAUUGGGCGUAAAGCGCGCGUAGGUGGCCCCAUAAGUCCGCUGUGAAAGUCAAAGGCUCAACCUUUGAAAGCCGGUGGAUACUGUGGGACUAGAGUACGGAAGAGGCGAGUGGAAUUCCUGGUGUAGCGGUGGAAUGCGCAGAUAUCAGGAGGAACACCAAUAGCGAAGGCAGCUCGCUGGGACGUUACUGACACUGAGACGCGAAAGCGUGGGGAGCGAACAGG